CUUCCCUCCAAUGGAAUUCCCUCAAUCCAGGGCAGCUUUGCUCAGGAAAAGCCUUCAUUUCAAAUCCCCUGACUAUUUUUAUUAACCUUAUUUUGGAAAGAGAUGCAGCCCUGAUUUUAAAGAUUUUUUUUUUAAAGAGUUUUUUUUUAAAGAGUUUUUUUUUAAAGAGUUUUUUUUUAAAGAGUUUUUUUUAAAAGAGUUUUUUUUAGAGUUUUUUUAAAAGAGGUUUUUUUUAAAAGAGUUUUUUUAAAGAGGUUUUUUUUAAAGUUUUUUUUAAAGAGUUGUUUUUUAAAAGAGUCUUUUUUUAAGUCUUUUUUUUAAGCAAAGGCUUUUUUUUUAAGCAAAGGCUUUUUUUUUAAGCAAAGGCUUUUUUUUUAAGCAAAGGCUUUUUUUUUAAGCAAAGGCUUUUUUUUUAAGCAAAGACCUUUUUUUAAGCAAAGACUUGUUUAAACGAUUUUUAAAAGAUUUUUUAAAAAAGAUUUUUUUAAAAAAGACUUUUAAAGGUUGUUUUCAGUAAGUAAGUUUUUUUCAGUAAUUUUUUUAAAAGAUUUUUAAAGAUUUCUUAAACAUUUUCUGAGCCUUCUGAUAUUUACAUCCUUGUAAUGAACUUUCUGACACCCUUUC